rnacentral:rRNA from 1 species
UACAGAGGCCUCGAGCGUUAGGCGGAAUCACUGGGCUUAAAGCGUGUGUAGGCGGACUUCUAAGUACCUUGUGAAAUCCCACGGCUCACCCGUGGAACUGCUUGGUAUACUGGUCGUCUUGAGCCUUCUAGGGGCGAGUGGAACAAAUGGUGGAGCGGUGAAAUGCGUAGAUAUCAUUGGAACGCCAAUGGUGAAAACAACUCGCUGGGGAAGUGCUGACGCUGAGACACGAAAGCCAGGGGAGCGAACGGG